GGUCGGCUUCAGGGCAGUCCCUAAGAGCUGGGGGAGCGAGUCGGUGGGCGGUUGUGCUGGGCCGGCUUCCGGCAGGCUGGGCGCAGCCAGGGCCGGGUGGGGAUCACACUUCAGUCAGGAGGAACCACAGGGCCGCGUGGCGCCCGCCUGCCUGAGCCUGGAGUGGGCUAGGAAGUCAGCCGCAGGCAGAGGGCCCAGGACCCACAGAGCCCCCUCGCCCUGGAGCUGGGGUCUGGAGUUUGAGCGGGGAGAGGGAGCCAGGGCCAGGAGGAGCCGGGCCAGCUGGA
rnacentral:lncRNA from 10 species